rnacentral:lncRNA from 1 species
GUAUUCUGCACGGACUGCUGGGCAGCACUAGCACUCUGGAGAAGGUCUGCCGCUGUCUGCACUUUCCUGGUGAGAAUCCCCAAUGACAGUCCCACUUUUCAGUGGAGGAGAACAAAAUAUCUGUCUACUCUCUUGAAGAAGGACACGGCUUUGAUCAUAUUUGUUCAGGCUUGACUUGGCCGGAGGUUUUAGGUUCUUAGUCUCAAGUCAGCAGUCUCUCUCUCUCUCUCUCUCUCUCUCUCUCUCUCUCUCUCUGAAACACACACACACAGAGACGCACACACACACAAGCACACACAUACACAAGCGCAAAUCCUCUCUUUCUCUUUCUCUCAUUUCCCGUCAUAGGUUCUAUGCAGGCAGAUGAGUGUCACAGCUGUAACUGAGGCACAGAGCAGUACACACAGUGGAGCCGAUUUCCGCGAUGGCGAGAGGGGGCACCGGAGGUGACAACAAUAACAAGACUGUCCUUCGGACAAGUUUUAGGAAGAAUGACUUGGGCAAUACCAAAUGUUGAGUUAUCAAGUAUUUCGAUACCCAUAUGCAUCAUCUGCUAUUCUCAGGAUGAUGGAGUGAGUGAUGGAAUAGGUUGCCAACUGUAGUUACUCCACUCAGCACAGAAUGGCUGCGGGGAAAUAUAAUCAGACAUGCCCAAAGAAGUCUGCUUAGGGUGAAACAAAUACCUUUGAGGUUUAAAUCAGAAAGGAAGGAGAGACUGUUUCUACAGGUGUCAUACAAAAAUCAAUACUGAGCCAAGGAUUAUUGGAUCCCAUAGAACCACGGAGACUUGGUAGUGAAAUUCUUCCAAAGCAUUCCAUCCGUGCAGGCAGAUGGUGUUCCUAGGUUUGGAAAUAUAAAUCCCAUGGGAAGUCAGCUGAAGACCAUUUUAUGCAUCACUCAUCCUGUUAGAGCCCUGUGCUGUUCUGUCUCUCUAUAAGACUGGCUGAAACCACCACGGUUGUUUACAAUUUAUGCUCUAACUUUGGAUCACCUAGUUAAUACUCUAACUCCGAUUAUUACCAAAGACAAUGUUCUAUAAAAGAUAUUGUCUAUUAGAAGGAUGCUUCUGCAUUAUUAAUAAAAUCACAGGGAAAAUGCAACAUUUUGGAUGUCACAUCUGAUAAGUGGGUGACUGAUCGUACCCGCCAGCUGGCUAAUGUCAUAAUUAACAAAGUUGCUACUACAUCUGCAAAGUUUAAUCGAAAAAUUUGCCAGUGAUAUGAUGGCCUUGUCACAGAGAUCACAAGGGACACGGAGUUGACUUUUGCUCAAGGUGGAACGACAGAGCUGUGUAGGCAAGAUGAGAAAUUGCGAACUUGUUCGGCCAAAGGAGGCUAAUAAUGAAGGGGCCGGGAAGGAGGCCAGUGCUACCAGGGUUAUCUCACAACCUCAGAUGCUGGAUAAGUCGACGGAGGCAGAAUCGCUUUGGGAUGACAUUCAGAAAGCCUGGAGUGAUUACUUGCAAGAGAAAAGCCUACCUAUUCUUUCCAAGGUGCAGGAAUAUUCCCCUGACCUGCUCAUCCAGUGGUCCAGUAAUGAAUUACUGGAGACCUGCCUUAGACAAAGAAUGCACUCGGAGCCCCAACACACCUAAAGCCAUGCUUUGAAGGAUCUGCCAAGCUCACUUUUAAUCAUGAGAAAGAAAUUACCCACACGGAGUCAGCAGAAAAUGAGAAAGUAGAGCUCGUGCUGUGAAUAAUUCCAGCAAGUGCCAAGGGGCUAGUUGAGGAAUGGCUUCAUGAGAACAUGCUCUAGGGGAACUAUUAAUAGCCCACCAGUCGGGUAGGCAGCAUUCAAUCCUUCUAUGCCUUCUUUCGCCACCUGUUGAGGUCUUUCUUCUGAAACAAAGAAGAAAUAGACAAAUCAGACUUGCCCUCUUGGAAAUGUGGUCCAGAUUUCUCUACUCCCAAGCUCCAAAAAAGAUGUUAGUCUAAAACAGCACCUUGGAUCUAAGCAGCACCUUUGAGAAAGAAAAGACUGCUUCAAGAAUGUCUAGUUGCACCUCCUUUCCGUAUGUGGCCUAAAUGCCUAGGUUGGAUCAAUAGUUUAAUUUUUUUAUUGAACUGUUUAAUAUUGACUAUGGACUUACAUUCACUUUUACUGUUUUCUGUAUAUUUACUUUUGCUUGAAGUGUUUUAAUAUUGACUAUUUACCUCUGCUCAUUUUUAUUGAUUUUCUGUAUUUUUUCAAUGAAAAUUAUAAUAAAAAUUAUUUUUGUUA